rnacentral:rRNA from 1 species
GACGAACGCUGGCGGCGUGCCUAAUACAUGCAAGUCGAGCGAAGUUUUUCUGGUGCUUGCACUAGAAAAACUUAGCGGCGAACGGGUGAGUAACACGUAAAGAACCUGCCUCAUAGACUGGGACAACUAUUGGAAACGAUAGCUAAUACCGGAUAACAGUAUUUCUCGCAUGGGAGAUACUUAAAAGUUGGUUAUGCUAACACUAUGAGAUGGCUUUGCGGUGCAUUAGCUAGUUGGUGGGGUAAAGGCCCACCAAGGCGACGAUGCAUAGCCGACCUGAGAGGGUGAUCGGCCACACUGGGACUGAGACACGGCCCAGACUCCUACGGGAGGCAGCAGUAGGGAAUCUUCCGCAAUGGGCGAAAGCCUGACGGAGCAACGCCGCGUGAGUGAAGAAGGAUUUCGGUUCGUAAAGCUCUGUUGUUAGGGAAGAAUGGAUAUGUAGUAACUAUACAUGUAAGAGACGGUACCUAACCAGAAAGCCACGGCUAACUACGUG